UACGGAGGAUGCAAGCGUUAUCCGGAAUGAUUGGGCGUAAAGCGUCCGCAGGUGGCUGUGUAAGUCUGCUGUCAAAGCGCGAAGCUCAACUUCGUAAAGGCAGUGGAAACUACACGGCUAGAGUGCGUUCGGGGCAGAGGGAAUUCCUGGUGUAGCGGUGAAAUGCGUAGAGAUCAGGAAGAACACCGGUGGCGAAAGCGCUCUGCUGGACCUUAACUGACACUGAGGGACGAAAGCUAGGGGAGCGAAUGGG
rnacentral:rRNA from 1 species